AGAAAGUGUCUACAUGCCCAACAAAAUUUAUAUGAACCUAUAAAUACCUUAAUUUGUUCAUUAAACCCGGGACAAUGUAUGAAAAAACGUCUUUAAAUUGGGUUUAAAAGAUUUAACAGAUAGUAUCUUAAUCGUCUACAUUGCCUGCAGGUGCCACAAAAUUCUGGUACAAUUGAGAAAUGGAAACAUACAACCAAAUUCAAGUUUUAGGCACACUUGCAAGCUAGCAGGUACCGU